AAUAUUGCACAAUGGAGGAAACUCUGAUGCAGCGACGCCGCGUGAACGAUGAAGGCCUUCGGGUCGUAAAGUUCUGUCCUAGGGGACGAUAAUGACGGUACCCUAGGAGGAAUCCCCGGCUAACUUCGUGCCAGCAGCCGCGGAAAUACGUAGGGGGCGAGCGUUGUCCGGAAUUAUUGGGCGUAAAGGGUUCGUAGGCGGUCUUUUAAGUAAGAUGUGAAAGGUCACGGCUCAACCGUGGUAAGCAUUUGAAACUGGGAGACUUGAGUUAAGGAGAGGAAAGUGGAAUUCCGAGUGUAGCGGUGAAAUGCGUAGAUAUUAGAAGGAAUACCAGUGGAGAAGGCGACUUUCUGGACUUAAACUGACGCUGAGGAACGAAAGCGUGGGGAGCAAACAGG
rnacentral:rRNA from 1 species